AAAGAAAAACCAAAAAAACUAACAACAAAAAGAAGAAAAAACAAAAACACAAAAAAAAAAAACAUGUCUUGCUCG
rnacentral:rRNA from 1 species